rnacentral:rRNA from 1 species
UAACCGGCGAUACCCGAAUGGGGAAACCCAGUGUGACUCGUCACACUAUCAUUAACUGAAUCCAUAGGUUAAUGAGGCGAACCGGGGGAACUGAAACAUCUAAGUACCCCGAGGAAAAGAAAUCAACCGAGAUUCCCCCAGUAGCGGCGAGCGAACGGGGAGGAGCCCAGAGCCUGAAUCAGCAUGUGUGUUAGUGGAAGCGUCUGGAAAGGCGCGCGAUACAGGGUGACAGCCCCGUACACAAAAGCGCAUGUGCUGUGAGCUCGAUGAGUAGGGCGGGACACGUGGUAUCCUGUCUGAAUAUGGGGGGACCAUCCUCCAAGGCUAAAUACUCCUGACUGACCGAUAGUGAACCAGUACCGUGAGGGAAAGGCGAAAAGAACCCCGGCGAGGGGAGUGAAAAAGAACCUGAAACCGUGUACGUACAAGCAGUGGGAGCACCCUUUGGGUGUGACUGCGUACCUUUUGUAUAAUGGGUCAGCGACUUAUAUUCUGUAGCAAGGUUAACCGAAUAGGGGAGCCGGAGGGAAACCGAGUCUUAACCGGGCGUUAAGUUGCAGGGUAUAGACCCGAAACCCGGUGAUCUAGCCAUGGGCAGGUUGAAGGUUGGGUAACACUAACUGGAGGACCGAACCGACUAAUGUUGAAAAAUUAGCGGAUGACCUGUGGCUGGGGGUGAAAGGCCAAUCAAACCGGGAGAUAGCUGGUUCUCCCCGAAAGCUAUUUAGGUAGCGCCUCGUGAAUUCAUCUCCGGGGGUAGAGCACUGUUUCGGCUAGGGGGCCAUCCCGGCUUACCAACCCGAUGCAAACUGCGAAUACCGGAGAAUGUUAUCACGGGAGACACACGGCGGGUGCUAACGUCCGUCGUGAAGAGGGAAACAACCCAGACCGCCAGCUAAGGUCCCAAAGUCAUGGUUAAGUGGGAAACGAUGUGGGAAGGCCCAGACAGCCAGGAUGUUGGCUUAGAAGCAGCCAUCAUUUAAAGAAAGCGUAAUAGCUCACUGGUCGAGUCGGCCUGCGCGGAAGAUGUAACGGGGCUAAACCAUGCACCGAAGCUGCGGCAGCGACACUGUGUGUUGUUGGGUA